rnacentral:tRNA from 1 species
UCCCCAGCUUUAGCGGAGUUGGUAGAGCGGAGGACUGUAGAGGAGCAUACGCUGACAUCCUUAGGUCGCUGGUUCAAAUCCGGCUCGAAGGAGGAG